UAUGCAAAAAUAUCUAAGAAGUUUGCUCACCCUUGUAGUAAGCAGUUGCAAACUCUGUUUUGGACCUGCGUUUUCCAUCUGAGACCGUGGGGAAGAUGAAUAAAGCCUUCCGUGCCUACUUUCAUGAUCAGUCCUAGAGCGGGACCAACGUCUACUGGGACAGAAGGGCUGCCUCAUAGCUAACCAGCUGUCAUUGGCCCUUAGAGGCUGAAAGAGAUCCUGACGUUUCUAAGGAAAGUUGAAGAAAGCCCUGGGAUACACCUUACUGUACCUGGAGCAGACCACUGGGGAUAGAAGACAUGCUCCGCGCUGCUCUGGACAUUUGGAGUGGACACUAGCUCAAAACCACAGAGCCCUGAGUUUGACCCUAGCACUCUGUGGCUACUGAUGACUCAUCCCGAUAAUUAUCAGAUUGAAUCUUCUCUACUGGUUUGGUAAUAACAAUGAGUGGAAAAAGAACUUCAAUCAGAUGUUCAUGCCUAAUAAUCGGUCUCCUGAUUGCCUUUGUAGACUCAUGGUUCUCUUCUUUUUCCUGGUCAUGGAAAUCUUCACAUCAGUAUAUAAAGAGUUGCCUCAUCCUUUUUGACAGCUGCAUAAUGUUCCAUUAUAGAGCUGUAGCCCCAAUUCACAGAUUUCCUAUUGAUCUUAUGGGACAAAUGCUGCUGGGAACUAGAGCUUACAGCUCAUGUGGAGGGGAUGGCUGAUGCCUCCCGGGCUUCCUCCCCUCCCGGCACCCACCUGCCAGUUCCCUUCGACAAUAGCCUGGGAAAGCAGUAUGUAUCCAGGAAAUCCCAGCUCUACCGAGAAGAGAAGUGAGAACAUUUCCGAGGGAAAGGUCAGAGGGAGGCUUUGGUAGGCAUGAAGUGUACUGGAAUUUGGCCUACAGUGGACAAACACACAGAUCUCGUCGCUACAAAAAAUAUCCCUUGAUGUUGCCCCAUCCAUUCAAGCCAAACCUCAGAGAGCCCCAGGAAGAAGAACUCAUAGAUGUUUACAGUGCUGGUCAGCAUUGUUUAAAAGGUAGGAUGGCACAGGUCAGAAAGUCCUAUGAUGGCGCUCUGAACUAAUACUCAACCUGUAAAAGCAAAUGUCAUAUUAUAAUUCCUUAGUUGCAGGCUUAGGAAAAAGAACAACCAAAAUUUUUGCCAGUUGGGAGAUGAAAAUGACAUGGAAAGGAGGCCACUGUAUCUAGCUUCUCCAGAGUGGACAAUCCAAGAGAGAGCCAGACAGAAGCCACAGCGUCUUUUACAGCUCAGCGCUGGAAGUCAUGGCCAUACCUUUCUGCAGUGUCUGUUGGUUACACAGGUCAUCCCCAUUCCGUGCCACAGCAGAGCACAUACAGGUGGAAACACUGGGAAGUGGGAAUUUGGGGGGCUAUCUUGGAGGGUGGCCACCGCAAUGAUAGAGACAUUUCUGUGCAUACAGGAUGGAGAAGAGAUUCAUGUGUUGGCUGAGUGAUUGAUUUUUUUAAAAAAGAUUUUAUUUAU